rnacentral:rRNA from 1 species
AUGGGAGCUUGCUCCCAUUUCUCAGCGGCGGACGGGUGAGUAACACGUGGGCAACCUGCCCUACAGACUGGGAUAACUCCGGGAAACCGGAGCUAAUACCGGGUAAUACAUAGCAUCGCAUGAUGCAACGUUGAAAGUUGGCCUUUGGCUAACACUGUAGGAUGGGCCCGCGGCGCAUUAGCUAGUUGGUAAGGUAACGGCUUACCAAGGCCACGAUGCGUAGCCGACCUGAGAGGGUGAUCGGCCACACUGGGACUGAGACACGGCCCAGACUCCUACGGGAGGCAGCAGUAGGGAAUCUUCCGCAAUGGACGAAAGUCUGACGGAGCAACGCCGCGUGAGUGACGAAGGCCUUCGGGUCGUAAAGCUCUGUUGUUAGGGAAGAACAAGUACCGUUCGAAUAGGGCGGUACCUUGACGGUACCUAACCAGAAAGCCACGGCUAACUACGUGCCAGCAGCCGCGGUAAUACGUAGGUGGCAAGCGUUGUCCGGAAUUAUUGGGCGUAAAGCGCGCGCAGGCGGUCUCUUAAGUCUGAUGUGAAAGCCCACGGCUCAACCGUGGAGGGCCAUUGGAAACUGGGGGACUUGAGUGCAGAAGAGGAGAGUGGAAUUCCACGUGUAGCGGUGAAAUGCGUAGAUAUGUGGAGGAACACCAGUGGCGAAGGCGGCUCUCUGGUCUGUAACUGACGCUGAGGCGCGAAAGCGUGGGGAGCGAACAGGAUUAGAUACCCUGGUAGUCCACGCCGUAAACGAUGAGUGCUAGGUGGUUGGGGGGGUUCCACCCUCAGUGCUGAAGUUAACACAUUAAGCACUCCGCCUGGGGGAGUACGAACCGCAAGGUUGAAACUCAAAGGAAUUGACGGGGGGCCCGCACAAGCAGUGGAGCAUGUGGUUUAAUUCGAAGCAACGC